AUUGAACGCUGGCGGAAUGCUUUACACAUGCAAGUCGAGCGGCAGCGCGGGGCAACCUGGCGGCGAGCGGCGAACGGGUGAGUAAUGCAUCGGAACAUGUCCAUUCGUGGGGGAUAGCCCGGCGAAAGCCGGAUUAAUACCGCAUACGCCCUGAGGGGAAAGUGGGGACCGGCAAGGCCUCACGCGAUUGGGUUGGCCGAUGUCCGAUUAGCUAGUU
rnacentral:rRNA from 1 species